rnacentral:rRNA from 1 species
AAGUUUGAUUAUGGCUCAGAUUGAACUAGCGGGAUGCCUUACACAUGCAAGUCGAACGACGGCACGGACUUCCAGGUCACUGGUGGCGAGUGAGCGAACGGUGAGUAAUGUAUCAGGGCGUGCCAGUAGCGGGGAUAACUACGCGAAAACGUAGCUAAUACCACAUACGCCCUACGAGGAAAAGCAGAGAGUCGCAAGACCUUGCAUAUUGGGCGGCCGAUAUCGGGUUAGUGAUUGGUGAAGAUGGCAGCCGCAAGGCGACGAUCCGUAGCUGGUUUGAGGACGACCAUGCACACUGGGACUGAGACCAUUGCCAGACUCCUACAGGAAGGUAUUGAUGGAAUUUUGGACAAUGGGAAACCUGAUCCAGCCAUCCCGCGAUAGCGCGUGGAAGCCUUCAGGUUGCGAAAACCCGCGCACCAGCGAGAAAAAGCGUCAGUGAAAAAGGGUUAUUACCUGAAACUGACAGUACCUGCAGAAUAAGCACCGGCUAACUACGUGCCAGCAGCCGCGGUGAUAUUACGUAAGGGUGCACGCAGUGUUAAUCAGGAAUUACUGGGCCGUAUUGCUUGGUGGCGCAGGCGGGUUCAAGGAAAGAAAGAUGUGAAAUCCCAGAGCUUAACUUUGGAACUGCAGUACAUUUACCAGAUGAAGGUGUGCGUCGGAGGAGGUGCGGGAUUACGUGUAGUGAAAUGCGUAGAUAUGCGGAGGAGCCACCGAUGGCAGAGGCAACCUCUGGGAUCACCAGCAAUAUGCACGAAAGCGUGGGGAGCAAACAAGGAUUAGAUACCUAGUGGUCCGCCUCCUAAACGAUGUCAACUAGCUGUUGGGGCCUUGAAUAUGAUAGCGCAACUAACGCGUGAAGUUGACCGCCUGGGGAGUACGGUCGCAAGGUAGAACUCAAAGGAAUUGACAGGGACCCGCACAAGCGGUGGAUGAUCUGGAUUAAUUCGAUGCAACAUAGCGACCAUACCUGCCGCUCAAUGUCUGGAAUCUCAAAGGAACAGCGAGUGCUCGCAAAGAACGGAACUGGGUGCCAUGGCUGUCGUCAGCUCGUGGUGAAUCAUUGGGUUAAGUCCGUGAAGCGCAACCGCAUCGUCAGUUGCUGAGGAGCGCUCAGGCGGACAUGCCGGUGACAAACCGGAGGAAGGUGGGGAUGACGUCAGUCCUCAUGGCCCUUAUGGGUAGGGCUUCACCCACGUCAUACAAUGGUCAGGACAGAGGGUCGCCAGCCCGCGAGGAGCCAAUCCCAGAAACCCGAUCGUAGUCGGAUCUGGAAUACCUCUGUUCGCAUUGAGAUCGGAAUCGCUAGUAAUGUAGCGGAUCAGCAUGUCGCGGUGAAUAUCCCGGAUAUACCUACCACGCCCGUCUGCACCAUAAGUGGGUUUUACCAGAAGUAGUUAGCCUAACACCGAAGAGGCGGUGCUGCUGGUAGGAUUCAUGACUGAGGUGAGAAGUGGCAACAAGGUAGCUCUGUUUGCUUGUCUGGAUAUAAAGGAACAGCCGUGAGCA